AUCACUCCUCUUCUCAGCUUUACACUUUGUCCCGGCAGCAAUCGGCUGAGCCGUCCCCCGUCUCCGGCCAGCUCCGACGACCAUAGACUCCUUCACCCGUUUGCUACCCGUCGGGACCCCGAAAGCUCCGGUUCCUGCCCCAAUUCCCUGAGCCAGCCGCCCCCCAAGCCUCCCUCAACCCCCAAAUCCCAGGCAAAACAUCACCGGGUUCCCCGUUGUCCUACGCGCUCCGGAUCCGCGCGGGGUACACGUCGCCCCUUCCCCCCGCCCCCCGGACCCCGCUCUCCCGACCCUAACCCCUCCCUGAGGCAGGGGGGUGGGGAGGGCAAAGCUCUCCGCGGCUGGACUGAGACUCGGGAGGCCAAGCGUCCCCCUCAGCAGGCCCCGCCUGGGCCUCUCGGCUCGGCUGCCCUCCACUGCCCCCCUGGCCCCGCCGUGCUUAUGCCGAAGAGCAGGGCAACACGAGCCCAGGGCUCGGCACUUACUCGGGAAGAGUUUCCACCUGCUAAGACUCCUUAAUGACUGACCAAAACUGAGACUGGACUGUGAGCACCUGAGGGCUUUCCUGUGGAGCUCGGAGGGGAGUGGCGCAAAGGACUUUUCUUACAAGCCGAGGUGCCUUGUGACAAAGCUUGGUUAGAUAUUAUAUAUGGCUUCUGGUGAUUACCUGCCAGACUUUGUCAUGGUAACCAUCUAACCAGAAGAGCAAGGUACAAGUACAUGGGCAACUUCCAAAUCAGAGCCUCUGCACAGGCUUAAUCCAGGUAUCUUGAAACUUUGGAAAAUCCUAAAUAUAAACAGAACUGUGAGAUCCUAGAGAAGCCAGACUGGAAACUGGAAUUUGCAGUUUGAAACAAAUGGAAGUUGGACGGAGGGAGUUCAGAACACAGAUCAAGGCAUGGACCUCCUUCUCUGGGAUUCUCCCUCCCUAGGAUUCUCCUAUUCCUUCGAUUCUAUCAAGUAUUCAGUGACACAGUGCUGUACCACAGGUUGAUGUAAGGUAGGAAAUCCUUCGGGAACACAGAAAUUGGUGGGAAUAGGGGGAGUCAUCAAAGCAUACCAGCCUAGGAUAAUGAGUGGCAAAAUAAGUGAAGAAAAAAAAAAUGAGUGAGAAGGGACAGGGACAAGGAGAGAGGCAGAAGAAGAAGAAGGAAGGACUAGAAAAGAAGGAAAGAAGGGGUUAUAUAUAAAGAGGAAAAAAAGAAGAGAAAAGAAAAGGAUGGGUGACUCUUUCCACUAUUUGGUCUUGUAAACUGCUUGUGUGAUCUUCAUUAGCAAGUGUAGUAAUCCCCAAUGGAAACUAUAGGCAUGUGUUGCUAGGUUCACUGGGAGUGCUGCUAUUAAACUAUCUCCUCAAAGGGACCUUUGCCACCUCCCUCACCCAACUAGUAACUUUGAAGCCAGAAUCUUAAAAAAAAUACAGAAUAAAUGGAGAAAAAGGAUAUUGUCAAUUUCCAUUGUAAGAGGAAAACUGGUAGUCCCAUACCCUAAGGUUAAGUUCUGUCCUGUGACGCAGAAAGUUCACAACAACUUAAUCUUUGUGCUGGCUGAAAAACAAAAUAACAACAAACACACACACACACACACAAAACCAAGCAAUAACAACCAAAUAACUCCCUCUGGGUAUCCAGAAAUGCACAACAACCCUGAUCAGAGUUUAACUGAUUUGAAUAUUUACUUGCCAUAAAAUAAAAGUGUUGAUUUUAGGAUUAAAAAGAACUAAUUUCCCUUAGAAACCAAAUUCUAGUUAAAAAAAAAUUUUUUUUUAAUGUUUAUUUAUUUGUGAGAGAGAAAGAGCACAAGCAGGGGAGGGUAGAGAGAGACAGAGACACAGAAUCCAACGCAGGCUCCAAGUUCUGAGCUGUCAGCAAAGAACCCUACACGGGGCUCGAACACACUAGCCAUAAGAUCAUGACUGAGCCAAAGCAGGACACUUAACAGACUGAGCCACCCAGGCACCUCUCAAAUUCUUAGUUUUAAUAAUGAAAUCCCUUAACCUCGUUGCUUAUAUUUUCUUCCCUUCUCAGUGCAUUUCUAGUCAGGGUACACUAAAUUCUAUUCACAAAGAAGAAUAAGGAUGGCAAUGAACUUCAUGAUGUAUAUAAAUAUAUGUUUAUAAACCAGUUAUUUAGUUUAUAGUAGCUAAAGACAAGAGACAAACAUCAAAGAGAACAGAUGCAUACUUUUUCCUUACUCUAAACAGUACUCAAGAAACAUCAAGCGGCACCUGGGUAGCUCAGUCUGUUAAGCAUCUGACUUUGGCUCAGGUCAUGAUCUCAUGGUUUGUGGAUUCAAGCACGAGCCCCGUGUUGGGCUCUAUGCAGACAGCUCAGAGCCUGGAGUCUGCUCGGAUUCUGUGUCUCCCCCUCUCUCUGCCCCUCCCCUGCUCGUACUCUGUUUCUCUCUCCCUCUCAAAAAUAAAAUAAACAUUAAAAAAUUGAAAAAAAAGGGAAAUAUCUGAAGAUCUGUCCUGCACCCAAAGAAAAUGCUCAUCCUUAAUUAAAAAAAAAUUUUUUUUAAUGUUUAUUUAUUAUUGAGAGACAGAGACAGAGCAUGAACAUGGGAGGGGCAGAGAGAGGAGGAGACACAGAAUCUGAAGGAGGCUCCAGGCUCUGAGCUGUUAGCACAGAGCCCGACACGGGGCUCAAACUCACAAACCCAGCGAAAUCAUGACCUCAGCCGAAGUCAGACACUUAACCGACUGAACCACCCAGGUGCUCCUCAUCCUUACUCUUUUAUUCUAGAGUCUAAAGUGGUUUUGGAGGGGUGGAGAGGAGUGGCAGGUGGAGGAUGAGUUAUUUUAAAGUGCCAUAAAAGGGCGCCUAGGUUGCUCAGUCAGUUAAGUGUCCAACUUCAGCUCAGGUCAUGAUCUCACAGUUCAUGGCUUCGAGCCCCGGGUCAGGCUCUGUGCUGACAGCUCAGAGCCUAGAGCCUGCUUCAGAUUCUGUGUCUCCUCUCUCUCUCUCUGCCCUUCCCCUGCUCACUCUCUGUCUGUCUUUCUCUCUCUCUCAAGAAUAAAUAAACAUUAAAAAAUUUUAAUAAAAAAAUAAAUAAAGUGCCAUAAAAGAUUCCCUUAGGGGAAAAAAAGAUUCUUCUGUAUCUGAAUUCCCAGUGUUUAGACUCUUUUUAGUAAGUGUUAGUCAAAAGAUCUAUUUGCCGAUGGUUAAAUUCUGGCUAAUGAGCAAUUUCAGAGUAACUUCUUCUAGACCCAGAGAAAACAUAGUCUCUGUUAGACUUCAUAUUCCAGAAAUUUCUGCUCUGAUUGGCCACCCUCAGAGAUAAACUUGAACUUCUGUGUCUACUCCAUAAAGAGGAUAAAGCCUCAGUCUUAAUCCUCUUAUCCUUUAUACAGGAUAAAGGUUGUCUCCUAGGUGCUAGGCAACAACUCAGAGCCCCUUUAUCUGAAACUUCAAAGUAGGGAUAAUCAUUUUAAAACAGUGUAAGUGGUCAAGUCCCCAUUUUUAAAAACACAUUUUUAAAUAAGGUAUCAUCACUUUAAUCUAGUGAUCAAUAUCAGGUUUAGCAAUAGUGGGACAACCAGAUAUUACGUACAGGUUAAUAUGAGGUAGUAGGAAGUACACAGCAUUACUUAUGAAGAAUUCUUACCAAAAUAUUGAACCUGAUUCUUAUCAAGCCUUUAGACCAACUUUGAGCUUACCAAAAAAUACAGAGGACAGAAGAACAAGUUUAACAACACCAUGAGAAAACAAUCAGACAAACACAGAAGGUAGGACAUUGUGUAGAAUAAUUCGUCCAGAAUCAUCAAGAAGUCAGUGUCUUAAAAAUAAAAUGUAUUAGGGCACCUGGGUGGCUCAGUUGGUUAAGUGUCCAAUGCUUGGUUUCGGCUCAGGUCAUGGGUCCCUGCGUCAGACUCCGUGCUGACAGUGUGGAGCCUGCUUGGAUUCUCCCUCUCUCACUCUCAUGCUCUCUCUCUCUCUCUCUCUCUCCCCCUCCCUGUAGGCCCCUCCCCCACCCACUCUCUCUGUCUCUCUCUCAAAAACACAUAAAUAAACUAACUAAAUAAAUAAAUAUAAAAUGCAUGUGGGUGUGGCACAAGGAGACUGUUCUAGAAUUCUCCCCACUUUGUUUCUAUGAAAACAUGGACUAGAUAAUCUAGAUAAUUAUCAUUUUAAGGUGAUACAUGUUAUAUAUCUGAGGGAGAGAAAUGGGCUGGGUAAUCUUCCCAAACACUGUAACUAUGGGCAAGAGAAGCACAUCAUUGGGCACAUUUGGAUCAUUUGAUAUAUUUGCCAUUUGGUAUCAUAUUAAAAUAAAAAUGAGAAUGAAAUUAAUAUGUUAAUUAAAAUCCAAGUAGAUUUGGUUAGAUGCUGAGGUUUCAGAAAGACCAUGAACCUAAAGAAUGUACUCGUGGAUGUAAAAGGAUAAUGGUGUUAGAAACACAAAGUGGCAUCAGUGAUAAAUGUAUUGAGGCUAUAGAAAAAAUUCUCCCCUCUUUGUUUCUAUGAAAGUAUUUUCUAUGUUAAUGUGGGAAAUAAAAAAUAAAACAAUCUUUGUAUAUCUCAAAAAAUUCUUUGUCCAUUUUUAUUAUUUUUUAAAUG